AGUGAACGCUGGCGGUAGGCCUAACACAUGCAAGUCGAACGGCAGCACAGUAAGAGCUUGCUCUUACGGGUGGCGAGUGGCGGACGGGUGAGGAAUACAUCGGAAUCUACUUUUUCGUGGGGGAUAACGUAGGGAAACUUACGCUAAUACCGCAUACGACCUACGGGUGAAAGCAGGGGAUCUUCGGACCUUGCGCGAUUGAAUGAGCCGAUGUCGGAUUAGCUAGUUGGCGGGGUAAAGGCCCACCAAGGCGACGAUCCGUAGCUUGUCUGAGAGGAUGAUCAGCCACACUGGAACUGAGACACGGUCCAGACUCCUACGGGAGGCAGCAGUGGGGAAUAUUGGACAAUGGGCGGAAGCCUGAUCCAGCCAUACCGCGUGGGUGAAGAAGGCCUUCGGGUUGUAAAGCCCUUUUGUUGGGAAAGAAAAGCAUCAGGUUAAUACCCCGCUGUUCUGACGGUACCCAAUGAAUAAGCACCGGCUAACUUCGUG
rnacentral:rRNA from 1 species